rnacentral:pre_miRNA from 1 species
CAUGCACCAGUGGGGUCCCUCGGCCUGGCCUGUGCCCUAUCAUAAUCCGGGACUCUCGGGGGAGGCCGGAGAGCCGGUUUUGGCCUGAUCCCGCAGGCCAGGCCAAGGGACCCCACUGGUGCACG